rnacentral:rRNA from 1 species
UACAGAGGUCUCAAGCGUUGUUCGGAUUCAUUGGGCGUAAAGGGUGCGUAGGCGGCGCGGUAAGUCGGGUGUGAAAUCUUGGAGCUUAACUCCGAAACUGCAUUCGAUACUGCCGUGCUUGAGGACUGGAGAGGAGACUGGAAUUUACGGUGUAGCGGUGAAAUGCGUAGAUAUCGUAAGGAAGACCAGUGGCGAAGGCGGGGUCUCUGGACAGUUCCUGACGCUGAGGCGCGAAAGCGUGGGGAGCGAACAGG